rnacentral:rRNA from 2 species
UGACCUCAAAUCAGGUAGGACUACCCGCUGAACUUAAGCAUAUCAAUAAGCGGAGGAAAAGAAACUAACAAGGAUUCCCCUAGUAACUGCGAGUGAAGCGGGAAAAGCUCAAAUUUAAAAUCUGGCAGUGUUGGCUGUCCGAGUUGUAAUCUAGAGAAGUGUUAUCCGCGUUGGACCGUGUCUAAGUCUCCUGGAAUGGAGCAUCAUAGAGGGUGAGAAUCCCGUCCUUGAACACGGACUGCCAGGGCUUUGUGAUGCGCUCUCAAAGAGUCGAGUUGUUUGGGAAUGCAGCUCAAAAUGGGUGGUAAAUUCCAUCUAAAGCUAAAUAUUGGCGAGAGACCGAUAGCGAACAAGUACCGUGAGGGAAAGAUGAAAAGAACUUUGGAAAGAGAGUUAAACAGUACGUGAAAUUGCUGAAAGGGAAACGCUUGAAGUCAGUCGCGUUGGCCAGGGAUCAACCUUGCUUUUGCUUGGUGUACUUUCUGGUUGACGGGUCAGCAUCAAUUUUGACCAUUGGAAAAAGGUCAAGGGAAUGUGGCAUCUUCGGAUGUGUUAUAGCCCUUGGCUGCAUACAGUGGUUGGGAUUGAGGAACUCAGCACGCCGCAAGGCCGGGUUUUAACCACGUACGUGCUUAGGAU